rnacentral:rRNA from 1 species
UACGAAGGGGGCUAGCGUUGUUCGGAAUCACUGGGCGUAAAGCGCACGUAGGCGGACGUGUCAGUCAGGGGUGAAAUCCCGGAGCUCAACUUCGGAACUGCCUUUGAUACAGCACGUCUUGAGUCCGGAAGAGGUGGGUGGAAUUCCUAGUGUAGAGGUGAAAUUCGUAGAUAUUAGGAAGAACACCGGUGGCGAAGGCGGCCCGCUGGUCCGGUACUGACGCUGAGGUGCGAAAGCGUGGGGAGCAAACAGG